GCACUUAUGAAAUGCGCAGAAAGCGUGUUUGUGUCGUGAGCACACGUGUGCCGACGCACGAGUACGCAGUGACCUCCAAAUGAGACGGGAAGAGAAGCCAAUUGAAAGACUCGCUGACCCGACGAACAGAUGGGCAUGGCCUAAGAAGAUGGUGCCGGUUUGUCUGCAUUUGAGCAUCUACGCAUGAAGUGGUGGCCUCCAGCAACUCCUUUUUCGACUUGGCUGCUCGUCAUCGUCGCUCUCAGGUUCCGACCUCCCGAUCGGGUCGAACGUGCACGCUCUGACGAGGCCACGUUCAGUUGCGUGCUCCUAUUGGCAGCUCUGAGUGGCCAGCAGAUGAAGCGGCAGGCGCACUAAUGAAUAGAACGCUGAUUGCAGGAUCCCCGAGAUGCAAAUUACUGUUCCUGCCACCCCUGACGACCGGCAAUUACCGGGCCUCCGCAGCCAUCGCCGCUGAGGAGGAGAAGGAGGAGGAGGAGGAGGAGGAGGACGCCUUGUGCAUAUUCAUCCUUCCGUGGCCAUAU